rnacentral:rRNA from 1 species
AUACGGGGGGUGCAAGCGUUAAUCGGAAUUACUGGGCGUAAAGCGCGCGUAGGCGGUUUGCUCAGUCGGAUGUGAAAGCCCAGGGCUCAACUUUGGAACUGCAUACGAUACUGGCAAACUAGAGUGUGAGAGAGGAUAGUGGAAUUUCCGGUGUAGCGGUGAAAUGCGUAGAUAUCCGAAGGAACAUCAGUGGCGAAGGCGACUGUCUGGCUCAACACUGACGCUGAGGUGCGAAAGCGUGGGUAGCAAACAGGAUUAGAUACCCUAGUAGUCC